AGUGAACGCUGGCGGUAGGCCUAACACAUGCAAGUCGAACGGCAGCACAGUAAGAGCUUGCUCUUACGGGUGGCGAGUGGCGGACGGGUGAGGAAUACAUCGGAAUCUACUUUUUCGUGGGGGAUAACGUAGGGAAACUUACGCUAAUACCGCAUACGACCUACGGGUGAAAGCAGGGGAUCUUCGGACCUUGCGCGAUUGAAUGAGCCGAUGUCGGAUUAGCUAGUUGGCGGGGUAAAGGCCCACCAUGGCGACGAUCCGUAGCUGGUCUGAGAGGAUGAUCAGCCACACUGGAACUGAGACACGGUCCAGACUCCUACGGGAGGCAGCAGUGGGGAAUAUUGGACAAUGGGCGCAAGCCUGAUCCAGCCAUACCGCGUGGGUGAAGAAGGCCUUCGGGUUGUAAAGCCCUUUUGUUGGGAAAGAAAAGCAGCAGGUUAAUACCCCGCUGUUCUGACGGUACCCAAAGAAUAAGCACCGGCCAACUUCGUG
rnacentral:rRNA from 1 species